GACGUAGGAGGCGAGCGUUGUCCGGAUUCAUUGGGCGUAAAGAGCACGCAGGCGGUUUGGCAAGUCGGAUGUGAAAACCCGAAGCUCAACUUCGGGCCUGCAUCCGAAACUGCCCGACUAGAGGUAGGUAGGGGAGAUCGGAAUUCCUGGUGUAGCGGUGAAAUGCGCAGAUAUCAGGAGGAACACCGGUGGCGAAGGCGGAUCUCUGGACCACAACUGACGCUGAGGCGCGAAAGCUAGGGGAGCAAACAGG
rnacentral:rRNA from 1 species